GGGAAGCCCAGUUUCGCAGCCUGUAUCUGAGUACAAACAUCAGGGAUUCAGACAUUCCAAGCUGAUCUUCUACCUUGCAGGCUUCAAAUCCAUCUUAUCUUAAAAGAAUGCAUCCCCUUUUAUCUACUUUUUUUUAAAAAAAGGUCAAUUUUAAAGGCAGCUGAGGGAGGGGUUGUGUAAUUUGCUGGAAGAAGUUUGUUAAAGGAUUAUAAAUAGGACAAGAUUUAUCCUCUCUCUGAAAUUCAGAAUCCUUGCAAGUACCCUGGCUGAGAACUUAAAGGAAAUCGUCUGAAAGUCGAACAUUUGUCUUCAUCACGGUUUUCCAAACGAAGGGAAAAACUCAGCCAAAACGCAUCAACUUUCAGAGACCAAGAGAAGCUGAUGAACGUGACCCGGAUGUUCCCGUGGUGAGGCCUGGGAGUGGGAGGGAUUGUCCUGCCAUUUCAAAGAAUAUCUACCUGGGGAUUUCUAGGGAUUCUGUUUCACUUUAAAGGAGAAAAACGUACAGUAAUUCUUUAAAGAAAUAUGAUUGGUGUAACCAGGUGAAGCAACUUAAAAAAUACAAAGCAAGUUACCCCAGGCAGUGCCAGUAACGCGACCUUUAAAAAAGUCUCAUUGACCCCUUCUCCUCUGAACAAGCUUGGAGCACACAGAGCAUUCGCGAUUUCCACAGGGCCCCCCAGAAUGUGUUUCCCAUUUUAGGAUGAACAUUGGGCUUUUACCAUAUGAAUGUGUCAGCCUUUGGAAGGCCACGCUUGGCCAGUCCCUUAGCCCUCCUGGGAAGACCUGGUCUUUUCCAGGGAGGAGUUUGCAGGGUGACCUCAGGUGGCCUGAGGCAACCAGGGGAGGGGUCCCCCACAGGCACUUGGGGAGCAGUAGCAGGAGCAAAGAGCAGCGGCAACUCUUUGGGCUCAUUUCUUGAGAUCAGUUCUUGGGAAACAAAAAGAAAAGGCCACAGCGUAUUUUGCUUUCCCCUUUCACCUGAAAAGAAGUACCAUAACCCCAGUAAGUAUAGAGCAGAAUGGCGUGAGCUGCUAGUUAAGGCUGCCUAUCUCCUCAGAUCACCGUGAGCUUUGACCUGGAUCACCAGACCUCACUUCAGAUUGUGUUUAUUACUCGAGAGUAACAAAUAGCUUCCUUUCAAAGCUUAAGAAAGCAAAGUGACCUAGUGGCCUGAGGAGGAAAAGAAAUGACCAGAGACACUACAAGUAACAGCAGCUAACAGGCUCCAUUUAGGACCAGGGGCAGCCUCUGAUGGUUGUUUAUGUCACUGCUUUGUAUCUGUCUUUCCUACCGGAUAGUAAACUCCUUUUUAUCUUCUCACCCUUGCAUUUUGCGAGCUUAGCAGAUAAGGAGGAGCCUAAUAAAUAAUUGUUGGUGUGAACAAAUAAACAGAUUGUAAUUACAUCAGUAGUUGGAGAGAUCAGUGCAGCACAGAUCAGUUCGAGAGGAGAAGGAGAUUGGCUUCAAAUAUUGGUCAAGAGCCCUAAGGAGGAUGAGCCAAGGAUAUAUUUAAUUUAAUAGGUUCACAUGACCAGGUGACUCUUCUGGGUCUAGAAAUGUGAGGAGGUGACAAUGUAAUAAACUAUACAGUCUUUCUGUAAGGAAAAAGUUAAGCAAAUUUAAACCUGGGUUUCUGAGGGGAAUAAUGUAUUCACCAGGUGCAACUGCCUGCUCCACCCCCUUGGCCUCCAUUUCUGUGCGGCUGCACCCCCACGCAGCAGAGGGGGGAUGUGGGCUCUCCAGUGGUGCUUGGUGUGCUUGACCAAAGGUGACGAUGACUUAGUGGGCUAAGGUCAUGCCCUCCCUCCCUCCAAAUCGAUAAUUUAAUGUGACUUAUCAGAAAGAGAAAGAACUGUUUACUUUAAAACCCUGGAUCCCAUAAAGGGAGAGCGAAAAGGCCUAAAAACCACAGAAGCUCAGGACUUGCGCCCAUGGCCGCCUGCACAGCCAGCAGAAAUAGGGGGAGCGGAAGGCCCCACCCCACAGGCCAGAGAAGGGCCCUGGGCCGAGAGAAGACAAGAGCUGCCCAGAAGAUUAUGGAAAGCCCGAAGCACACAGAGCCCACCUGGAGAAGUGGAGGGGUGCUCAGACGCUGCCCGCAGGAGGCUUCCUUUUGCUGGAAAAUCAGUAUUAUUAAUGAAAAAUGGAAUAGUUCUUCGGUCUCCAUGUUCCUCUUUUCCUCACCUCGUCUCUUCUCCCACCCACUACCAUGGAGGGAAAUGACUGCUGAAUAGGAUUUAAAAUCUGAGCACCAUCGGAUGCCCUUGUAUCCAAUAGAUGUUACUGUGAGUAGAUUACAGCACAGCUAAAUGCUACAUCCCCUUGCAAAACAAUUUUAAUUUUCUUAGACUGCAGAAUUUACCGCAUCUGCUCAUGAUGGAUUGGGAUAUAUGGUGAGGGAAGCAAUGGGGAGGAGCCAUUAAUCCAGUCAUUUUAUUAUGACAUAUAAUGUGGUUUUCCACUAAGUCUUUGUUUCCUAGAAUCAGUUCCCUCUAGGGAUUCUUUCCCAUUUAGCCCUUUUAGAAAAUCGAUGCAAACAGAUUUCCCAUCCAUUUCCAUAGGAAGUGUUUGUUUCUGUUGGUGGGAGGCCUCCGUGGGGUGGCAAUGGGUCCCUUUAUUAGCUCGACUGUUCCAGAACACAGAAGCCUGACAUCUUUAUAUUUCCUUUGCUCAAGAUGCUCCCCACCAUUGAUCCCUCUUUUCUCUGCUCAGGUCACUCUGUGGAGCUGGUGAGGUUCCCGGAUGAUGAUCAGUGGCUGUGGUGGAAAGUGGAGGUGAAGUUAACACCUUCACGGCUACAGAUUUUCCUUAGCAGAGCUGUGGAGUGUGACAAUGGUGUUUGUGUCCAAACUAUCAAACGCCAUUAUCACACUAAAUAGCUACUGUUAGGCAAUCCUUCCACUCAGUGAAGGCCUUGGCAUCUGUUAGGUUUGGGCAAGAAGGCUCAUCUUGUAGCAGUGCUCUCAAUCAUGUGUAAUUACUGAAUAAAUUCCGGUCCUUUUGUGCUCAUAACCAAUAUGUCAUCUGAACUUUGCCUCUCACAUGCCAUUGUUAAAUACUUUAGCCGAUGAUGAAUUGUCUUGUUUUCCUGAGUCAAUAGAAAGAUUGCCGUGUUCCCCAGAGCACCCAGCAGAAGGCUAGGCACAUAGGAAUUGUUCAACCCAUGCUUAUUGAGUUGAAAUGAAUAGUUAGGAAAAUGUUAGAUGCCAAAAACUAAAACUGGAUUAAAGCUAGGUUGUGAAAACCACAGGCUUAUGGAUGCAAAAUUAAGGUUUGUCGGUCCUUCACGUUGCAUCAUAAAAAACAACUUUCUGAUAACUUACACAUGUCUCUUAACUGACCUUUCAGAAAUUCUAGAACAUGUGUGAUUUCUACUGAUUUUAAUCAAUUGCCAGGCUGAUUACUGAAUUUGUGUGCUGGAUUCUUAUUCCUUAUGUUUCGAUGAAUCACCAUCAGGAAAUUAUACACGAACUAUGUGUGCGUUGCCAUGGCAAACCUGAACAUUUUAAACCCAUGCAGCUUCUGGGACAAUUGGACCAGCUGGGUGGUCUGGUUUGAAACACAUCCUUUCUCUGACAGGCAUGUAAAGUAAGGAGUAGAUUCUGUUUGUGCUGGGCUAAAGCUGUUCUCCUCUGACUUGGCGAAGUGAACUGGUACAUGUGUAAUCAAAUUGAAGGGUUGGAGCAACCAUCAGAAACAGGUUCAUUCAAUCAUCCAUUUGCCAAAUAAAUAUGUGUAUUCAGUGGCUGCCAUGUGUCUGGUACUGCCCUGGGCACUCGGGAUACUCGUAAAUUAAAUGUGUCUGACAUAAUUUCCAGACAUGGGCGUUCACUGGCUCGCAUUCUGUUUGGGACCAUUCUAAAUGUUCUAAAUUAUGUUUACCAGGGAACCAAAUGAGCAAAACUUUGCAAAAUAAUUCCAAGCCCCUUGCUGGAAAGCACCAGGUGAGUGUAGUCCACACAUCUAUGAUACACUGCAAAGGUUCCGAGGUCCUGAGAAGCUUCCAUCCAAAGAAGAGGAAGUCCAUUCCUUCCUGCCCUUCCUCUCCUUCCACCUCCCAUUCCUUCCCUCCUGGCAUCAUCCACUCUCAAGAGGAGAACCAGACCCCCUAAAAUAAUUAAUGCACUGACAUUCCUUUUUUUUUUGCUUUUCUGGAGAAAGCACUGAUUGAACAAGCAUUGGUAGAGGGCUCUACUGUUACACAAAUCUCUCCUGUGCACGUUAUUUCCUUUGAUCUGUGCAAGAAAGGGCAAAGAUGACAGAUUUGGGCGCUUUCCACAGACAGCAAACUGAGACCGAGAGUGGUUCUGGAAUCGGCUGGUCAUGCAACCACUACUCAACUUGGGUCUCCUAAAUCUAAAGUUCUCUCUUUUACUUAUAGCCUUCCUUGGCCUAGUGUUUCCACAAAACCUCAUGCUUCACAGCUGAGGCUAUGUAGAAGUUGGGUUUCUGAGGGAAAGUCUGCAGGAUAAGAGAGAGAUAAGCCAUAUGACCAUCUUUCCUUGUGAGUGUUCCACAAUGCAGAGAAAGACAAAUACUGUGAAACACCAUCAUCAUGAAGUGAAGGGAAGGGAAGGAACAGCAAAGUGGUAGUUUUGGGGUCAGGAAGGGGGUGGCCAAACUGUCCAGACAUGGACCAGCCAACUUAGCGCCCCAGCCAACUGACGUGGCCCUCACUGACCCAGAGCCUGCAGGCUCCCAACCCUUCUCAGGCUCACGGACAAUGUGAGCACAGCCUCAGGCACAAUUCCUCCUCUCUCCCACCACCCUGAGACUUUCCUCAGAUGGAAUGAAACAGGCAGCAAAAGGAAGGGCAUUCUACAUCUUUUCUACUAGGUUGGCUCCCGUAGCGGCUUAUUAUGAUUCCUGUCUGGGUUAGUUCUGCAUCCAGGCUUGGGGACCUGUUUUUUCCAUAGAUCUCUAAGGAGCACACGUGGAAGGCAAGGCUUCCACUCCCCCAUCUUAAAGCCAUAUCUGACCCUGUCCUGCUGCUCCAACUCUCUGAUCACAGCAUCCUUCCCCAGCCUAGCUUUCAUCCCCUCCCUGGCCCAUCCCACUGGGAUGAUCACUGCCAGUCUUCCCCAAUAGAGCACUAUUCCUGGGGAUGCUUACUGCCUCCAAACGUAGUUUGCCAGCUGGAGGGGCCACUUGGAAGUGCAGUUAAAAUCGCACUGGAGCGGGGGAGGCGGCAGAGCCCCCGGGCAGCCACACUGAGAUGUUUUCUUCCCCUGGAGACAGGCGUUACUUUGCUUCGUGAAUCAUGCCGGUGAGGUCCUGUGACUCCUUCGUCUUAGUACAAUGUGCAUGUCGAACGUGACAAUAGCCAGUAGGGCCUGUCCCAUGUUCCAGCCAACCCCAGAGGAGGUUUUGUGAAACAGCACAGCAGUAUCACAUGUAGAAGGCUCAUCUACACAGUUUUAUGAACUCUUCUUAAAUCUAUGUUUUCCACUUGGUAUACUUCCAUGAAUCCAAAGAUAAUGUUAGAACUGGAACCCAGUUUACUGUUUGUACUGAAGAGGAAAUUGAAGCCCGGAUAGGUUAAGGAACAUGCCCGAGGUCGUUCAGCUAGUCUCUGGGUGAGCUGGACCCUGAAGCCAGGUUUCCAGGCUUUGCCACUUCAUCCCAGUGGUGUCCCGUAGCUGUUGCCUUCCUAGAGCAGGCAGGAGAGGACUCAGGCAGUACCCCCUGAAUGAGUGCCUGGAUGCCAGUAAAGUCCUCUUCCCUUUGAUUUGUCUGAGCACUGUCUUCUCUGGAUUUCAAAGGGAUCCUCCCUAGUUUGGCGUUCUGGAAUUUGGUGCAUGGGUCCAGGUUCAUGCUCCCUCUUCACUGCGUUGUCUGCCAUUCACUGCACAGACGUGGGUUGUGUGAUUACUAUAUGCCUGGUACCAUGCUGGGCUCUGGGGACACAGAGAAGAAGGAGCCCACGUCCCUUCCCAGAGCUGCUCUCCGUCUAGGAGUUAGUCUCCUAAACAGAGACAUUCAGGCCUCAAGGAGCUAAACGCCAUAGACACCAUAGCUAGACAGAGCCGUAGACAGGGUGCCCAAAGACUUUAAUUAUGCCUUUCGUUUCUUUUCAGAUGAAGAAAGACUGAGUCUUUGAUGUUAUAACAUUUUUGUUACUAUUGGGAAAAUAAUCACUCUUUUUCUGUUAAUGAUUCAGUCACCUACAGGCUGUAGAUAAAGAGCACGGUGUUGUACUUGGGGGCAAAGCUGUAAUACGAAGAGCUGGCUGCUUUUCCCUGGCCGUGUGCCAGCGUGAUGUGCCGCACCGGGUCUGUUGAGGCCCUUGGGAAGGUAGAGGAGAUGGUUAGAACACUUUUCAGUUAUAUAUGUGAAGAAUUUUUAUUUCUCAGAGGAGCAGGGUAAGACACGAGCUGGUUGUCUUUCACAGUGCCCGCUGGGUUAGUGCUCACAAUGCCAGGUCAUUAGGCCGUUUCCUCCAUUGCUGCCUCUUCCUCUAUCCUCAAAAGCCUACUCCAAGGCCAGCAGUUGCAUACUGACUCCUCCUCAUUUCCCGCUCCCUGGGAUACGCUCAGGAAGCCACUGGGUAUAAACCUAUGGCAGGAAUCCCCAGGGCCUGUGGAGGAGUAGAGAGAUUGGGCAUCCCCUUCUUCUCUUUGACAUCUGAGUUCACUUCCAAGCUUUCCGAAGGAAAGGGAGGCGUCCCAAAACGCACACAAGUUCACAAAAAUGUAGAUGGCUACUGAGGAUUCCAAAGGGCCUGCUCAUAAGUAGCCAAAUUUAGAAAGCAGGGUCACCAUAUGUGUUCUGAAAAAUGAUUUAUGUGACACAAAUUUACUGUGUACUUGGAAUAUCUAAACACUGUGCAUAGGAUGCAAAGAUGAGUAAGAAAAUCACUCCUUCCCUCCUUCAUUCAUUCAACCAUGUGUUCCUACUAUUGUGUCAGACAUUGUGCUGAUCACUGAGAAUUCAAAAAUAAGAUGCUCUCUCUAGACUAUAGUGUUGACAAUCUAAUGAGGACAGAGACAGGCAAAUGAGUGACAGCGGUCCUGAGCUGCGGAUUUUUGCGGUAGGUGUGGGGUGCCUUGGGGGCCUCUAGAAGGAAACACCAUCUGUGGUCUGGGAGAAAGACAUGAGUAAGAACGAGAGACAAGCGUUCCAGUGCAGGAGCACUCCAGUGCUUCCGGCAGCCGCCCAAUCAAAGAGAAAGUCGUGACCUCGGCAAGCGAAGUGUAGAAGUUCUCACCUUGACAAAGGUUGAGUUACCUUCAAGUUUCCAAAGCAUUCUCCAGCAAUUCCCUCCAGACAGCAGUUGAGCUAUGAACCUGGAAUUUAUUUGGUGGGGAUUUUCCCUCUCAAAAAUGCAACCGAACAUCCACAGAAGAAAGAUCAGCUUUUAAUAAAAGAAGCACAUUGUGCUAUUUGGUAAGUGAUGGGGGCAGGUGUAUGUGUGUGACUAUGUGUGUUUGUAGUGCACCUGUGUGCAAAGAAUUUUAAUUUCCCGAAGGAGCUGGAUAAAAUGCCUUUAAAGUCUCAUUCAACUGGGACAUUUUUUUUUUUGAAACCAGGGAAAAGCCAGUGCUGUGAUCUUCAAGGUGGGCUGAAGGAGCAUCUUCCCACUCCCAGUCCUUGGAGCCUGGGGUCACUCUUUACGUGGGAUACUGCCGCCCCGUGGCAGGAUACGUCCCUGCGCAUCGUAGCAUCAGUGGUUCAUAAGGAUUUCCAGUUUGCUGCCUGAGUAUUCCAAACGGAUUGCAUUCAGAGCUUCCCCUGACAGCCGGAUCUGGCUUUAAUUUUGAUAAAGUAAGUUUCAAAGGCUUGAGGGGGAGAAAGAGAGGAGUGGAAGAGACUGUUCUAUUGAGUGUCUGUUGACCCAUUAAAUACACGAGACAAGAGCUAAUCUUGUUCUACCUAGAGAACGAGUCCCUUCCUUUUCACUUUUCUGGCACAUUUAGCCCAGUCAAGAGCUAAUUAAAGUCCUUCCCAUUUCUUAAGGCUGCCUGUCUUCUGUGCAGUGCAUCCUGUCGUGCUUAUCUGCUUGGCUUCCAACUGCAGCUGGAUACAAAGAGGUCAUAGAUUACCUCCCACUCUUUGGAUGUGUCAGCUACUGUAUCUACAGGCCUUCUCACUGAGCGCUAACAACUGUGCCCAAGAUGUUUCUCGCUAUCUCAGAUCAGAUCCUUUGCUCAGCAAUGAGAGUGAGUGCUAUGCUGGGUUGGGUAAAACAUGGAGAGGCCACUAUAAAUGUCCCAAAGGAAGUGGCUACAAAUCACCACCCCAAUAUGUAGGUGGCGUGUUAGGAAAUUUUGACUGCAAGAAGCAAUUUUUUCUUAAAUUAUCUCAAGUCAUUCAUUCUUACAACAAUAUUUCUUAAGCACCUACUACGUACAAGUCACUGAGCUGGGGAAAGUUUUUUUGAAGGGGCCACAUGGCAGUAAGGGGUCAGGAGUCACAUGGGAGCUCCCAAACAGUCCUAAGGGGGGGCCUCGUGGAAAGUGGCAGUCAGGAUUCAUGAGUGAUCCCGAGAUGGGGGUAUCCGGCCACCCCCAAGGCUGUAGAAAAAAAUCAAGCCUCUGCCAUUAUGGUGAUUCAUUUGAUCCAUUUUUCUGCUCUUCCUGCUGCCAUACCUGCCUCCAUCCUUACCUACAGUUUCUGCUCACCCAUAACUACUGCUCACUCACAUCUUCUGCCCAUUCUGGGGUCUCAUGGCCCCUGCUACUUAAUGGCCUCUGCUUGCCUGCCUCCUUUGGGUGUCUUUUCAGUUUCUUCAUGUGCUACCAAGUGACUUCCUCCUUCCCUGUGUCUCCAGUUGGAUCCCUAAGCUGGAAAACUGAUGGUUUCAGCUAAGAUGUGUGUUCCCGCUGGGGCAAAGAUUUCACACAAGGCCAUGACAUAGGCUGCUGGUCAACCUUUGGGGCAGGAGAAAACGCAGGGGUAUGUCUGAGAAAGUCUGAUGCAAGAACUAAUGGGUAAAUUUUAUUCUGAGUUGGAGUUAUCCAUUCUCCAGAUGAAAAGGUAGGGGAAGAAUUCUCAAGAAAAGGGUUGGCAUGUGUAAAGUCUUCAAGUGGGAUGGAGUUUGGAACAGCCCGAGAGCUUGAAGCUGACUGGUGUGUCAGGAACGUGACAAGCAAGCAGGAGAUGAGGCUAGAGAGGUGGGCAGGGCUGGCACUAGGAUAGAGGGGGAACACAUGAGGACGGCAGGCAGAUGGCCAGUGCUGCUUAGGGAUCACACACUCUACUGACGGGUCACCAAGACCAGGAGUGGACAAUCUACAGCCCGUGGGCCAAACCUAGCCCACCGCCUGUUUUUGUACAAACCAAGCACCAUUUUUAUAUGUUUAAAUUUUUGAAAAAAAUCAAUAGAAGAAUACUAUUUCAUGAUGUCAAAUUUAUAUGCAAUUCAAAUUUCACUGUCCAUAAAUAAAAAGUUUUAUUGGAAUUUACCAACCGUCCCAAUUUGCCCAGACUACCUCAGUUUAGCACUGAAAGUCUUAGAGCCUGGAAAAGCCCUCAGUCCCAGGCAAAUGGGGAUGUUGGUCACCUGGCACACAGCCAGGCUCAUCUAUUUCCAUAUUGUCUACAGCUGUGUUCACGCUCCGACGGCAGAGUUGAGUAGUUAUGACAGAGGCCAUAGGGCCUGCAAAGCCUGAAAUAUUUACUAUCUGGCCAUUUAUAGAAAAGUUUGCUGAUUCUUGAUUAAGACCAAAGAAGAGUAAAUAAUUUAUCUGAUAAGUUAUCUAAUAUAACUGAUUGUUGUUGUCACAAGAGUGUUGACCCUGCCUAUUUAUUUUCUCCAUUGGAACCUGAUUCAUUUUUAAAACCUAAAUUAGAUCAUGUCACUCUGCUGCUCAAGAGCCUUCAAUGGCUCCCCAUCCCACUGGGAAUAAAACCUAAGGAUCACUUACAUCCUUCUCAAACAGACUUCAUCUCCUGCUCUUCCAUGCCAUGCCCACUCCCUUGCUGAUUCUCAAACAAGCCAAGUGCCCUCCUGCCUCCGGACCUUUGCACUUGCUGUUCCCUCCCUCUAGACCCUUUCUCCCAGAUAUAUGCAUACCUCGCUCCUUCACAUCAUUCUGUUCCUAUUCAAAGUCGUCUUUUCAGUGAAGCCUUCCCCCUCAUUUAGCAUUCUCCAUCUCCAGACAUCACUUAUCCAUUUGUUGAUUUUCUGUGUCCACACUAGAAGGCCAGACACUUGAGGACAGGGACGUUGCUGUAUCCCCAGCUCACAGAACAGUGCCAAUCACAUGGUGGGUUUGUGACAAUUAUUUAUUGGAUAAAUAAAAGGUUGGUAAAGUCCAAGAAUUUUAUGCACGUGUCCAGGGCCAUGUCCCAACUCAUUGGACCAUAUUACUGCUAAUCAAUAUUUCAUUUUAGCCAACAUCCAUCCUGUUACAAUUAUGUGGCUGCCUGUGUCUGUCGCCCACUGGCUUCUUUUCCUGCCAAACACUUUGUGUUUAAUCAUCUGAACAUCUGCUCCGUAGAAAUCUCAUGCCAGAUGCCGACCUGCGACACUGCUGCUUCUCCUGUCCUGAGAAUGGACGCAUUAAUCCCGAGUCCAGGGGUGGGAUCAGGGUGAUUCUUCAAUCCCCCGACACUGACAAUGACAUGUGAUGCACAUAUGCAGUUUUCUAGGGAGUGGGUGCAGAGCUGUCGUCUGAUCCUCACGAGGGCCCUCGAUCCCCAGAAGGCUGAGGAGCUGAUUGUACCAGCAACAAGCUCUCCAGUCUGAUGAGUUACAGGCCCUCCUGUGGGGUGUCUUCUGCUCUCCAAUGUAUGAUGAUUGAUGCUUGUGUUCUUGGUACUCAGCUGGUGUCAGUGGCAUCCUCCCUCUGCCUUUCUGGAAUGUUCCUCCCUUCUGCUACAUCUGAAAACUUGUUAACAAACCAGCGGGCUCCUGUGUGGCCAUCCAGCCCCCCAGUGUCUGUUCCACACAGCCAUUUUCUUCAAGAGCCGCUGGCCCCAGGUUCCAGCAGGAUGGCUGAAAAUGCUCUUCUUUGUGACCGUGAGGCCUGACCUAUGUCAUCUGUCAAGUGUCUGUGCUGUGGGAUUCGUUUCCUGCCAAGGGUUCCCUGCUCAUUUCCCAGAGGAACUGAGCCGAGGCCGCCCGGCUGCGGGAGCAGAGCCUCAGGGUUCCCGAGGGGCCCUUUGACGCCGAGGGGACAGAGGUCAUGUCCUUUCUAAGUGUAGCUUGCGGGGAGGACCCUCGGUCUCUAUUUUCUCAGUUUUGAGAGGAUUUUCAUUUCCAGGAGGAGAAUCAUUCCAAGAAACUCUUCUGCACAGACAGCUGCUAUCCCCCCCCCGUCUGAGGCCAGGAGGGGGCGCCAGCUCUGCUCAGCGCCUGCCUGGUGCACUCAGGCCUGUCCUGAGAUUGACCAUCUAUCAUUGUUUAUUAAUAUUAUCACCAUCAUCUUAAGAAUUCCCAGCCUUUUUGGCCCUGGGGAAAGCUGAGGUCCAGCCCACGUGGACGGUUGUGGGUUACAGACUCAUGAACACGAGCUAACCGGGCACUGCCGGGCAGAGGGCAGAGUGUCCCCUACCUUCUCAGUGAGGCCGUAGAAGGGCAGGUGCCCUCAGGGUCUCUCGACUCAGCACUACUGACAUUUUGGGCCGCAGAAUUCUUGGUUCUUGGUGACCGUCCUGAGCAGUGUGGGAUGUUCGGCAGCAUCCCUGGCCUCUACCCGCUAGAUGCCAGUAGCAUCCUCCCUGUUGUGACAACCAAAAAUGGCUGCAGACGUUGACAAAUAUCCUCUGGGGGGCAAAGUGGCCCCCAGUUGAGACCCACCACUCUAUGCAGCUGCUUCUUGACUGGGACUUCAGAACGAGAGGUAGAAAUGACAGGAGGCUCAGGGGGGUUGGCGAGACAAAUCUCGCUAAGUCAAAUAACGCCAACUGUUCCAGAAAGCAAAGUGCGUUCGGGGGGUGAAGGAGAGAGAGACAAGGGCAGAGUUUGGCGUAAAGCUGGAGAACACGCGGAGGACUUGACCGAAGCUGGUGGAGGGAGGGGUGGUCUCCAGAGAGCAGGCGUGAGCUUGGGAGGGACGUCUUCAGGUCACGAGGCCACGCGGGGCCCCUGCCUGCACUGGCUUCAGCUGUGACCAACCCCAGGUCAUCCCCAUCUUGAGCAGAGGCCCAACCUGCGUGAAGCCACCCGCCUUCCUUCGUGCAGGAAAGUACUUGCUGAGUACCCCCCAUGUGCUAGGUCCUGAGCACAGAGAGAGAAAACACAGUUCUGUCUUUAGGAGGAUAGAGAUUUAACGAGGUAACCGCACCCAAGCAGGACGAGACAGAACUACCAGAGGCUCUGAAGGGAUAGACUUGGGGGCUCAAAGAAGACUUCCUGGAGGAGGUGACAUCUAAGUGGAAACUUGGAAGACAAGUGGAAGUUUUGCAGACAAAAGAGGAGCGUAGAGUCCUGACAUAAGCUUCUAGGGUGGUACUGCCUAAAAGUCCUUUAAAAGGGAACAAGCGUCUGCUCUGCUUUUAAUAGAGGGUCAAGAGUAGCGCAAACCAAAGAGCUCUCAGGGCCCAAGGGGUGGCAGAGCAGCAAGAGGGCACAAAAGGAAGAGGGCAGAGACAAAAGAAAACACACCUGGUUACAGCUGUCCUGACCUGCAGCAUCAGCAGCGUCCACAUGGCCUGGGAGCUUGCUAGAAAUGCAAGUUCUCUGGCCCAGCCCAGACUCAUGAAAGAAACUCCAGGUGGGGCCGGCAACCUGUGUUUGAACAGGGCCCUCCAGGUGAUGCUGACGAACCUCUGGGCUACAGGCCCGUCCUCUGUGCUGCUCAUUAGUGUUUAAUGAGUGAGCAACGGAGGGAAUCAGUCAACCAAUUACUCCUGCCUUGGAAAAGACAGCAGCAGAGUCUUCCCCACCUAGGCUGCACAUUAGGGUCACCCUGAGAGCUUUAAAAAUCCCGCUGCCCAGGCCAUGCCCCAGGCCAAUUACCUAAGAAUCUUGGGGCGGG
ensembl:lncRNA